rnacentral:sRNA from 1 species
ACAACCCUUCUUUCAAGCCAUGUUAUUUUGUGAGAGCAUUUGAGGCCUAUUUUCAAGAUUGAUCUUGGUAGAACGUGUUAGGUUUGAGCCGACAAGAGUAAUAUCUCAUGUUGUUCCUAUCCGCGUUUUCGGACUUGGUAGGACUAGGUGGGAACUUAUUCAGGGAAAGAGAUUGAGUGUGAAAAGCAAAAUAAAAAAUAUGGGUUAGAGUCUAUAGGAGAAGGAAGUUGAAAAUCAUAUCGAAGUCUAAUGAAUGUUUGGAAAGCAUAUAAUCGAUAAGAUAUGCUCUAAAAAAAAGAAGAUGACAAUAAAAACAAAAAAGAAAAAAAAUUAUAAGAGCCAUAAGAGUUUAAGAAAAACCCAAUUCACUAGACGAGACUCAUAGAAUAUAAGAAAAGCUUCUCCUUAAGAACAAGAGCCAAAGAAAAGAAAGGAUACAUUGAUCAAAGGAAAAAAAUCGAAAUAUGCCUUUAGUGCAAAAGGGUAGACUUAGGAUCAUCAUUGAGUUUAGAGAUAGGACCAUCUACUUGUUAUUCACGGUUUAUGUCAUUGGGUAGAUGGGGUGCUGAUCUUGAAUGCAUAGGUUGGCACUUACCUUUAGCAUUCUUCUAAAGCUCAAUCCUUUUUCAUUGAGAGUCACUUGGUAUUAAAAAUCUGAAACACCUUAAAAGGACCAUCUUAUCUAAUUACCUGUCCUUAGCCAAAUGAGUUCACUAGCGAUGCAUAUCUUGAUUCAUGUUUUUGAA